rnacentral:lncRNA from 1 species
UGAAAAUCGGGUAUUUUGGGUAUUAGGGUACCCUAUUAUCUAAUUAAGCCUAAUUACCCGAAGGUAAUCAAUCUCCUACAGUCUGUCAUAAUUGAUGGCUUGAUUCAAUCAAGCUAAGUGUUUAAAGCCUAAUUUUAUUGAUUACAAUUUGAGUAAAUUGAAUAGGCAGAUGGCGUAAGUCCGAAAAAAGAGAAAGGGUGAAGCAAACCAAAAAAACAAAAAA